rnacentral:tRNA from 1 species
UCCUCGUUAGUAUAGUGGUCAGUAUCCCCCCGCUGUCACGCGGGAGACCAGGGUUUCGAUUCCCCGACGGGGAG